rnacentral:rRNA from 1 species
GACGAACGCUGGCGGCGUGCUUAACACAUGCAAGUCGGACGAUGAACCCGGAGCUUGCUCCGGUGGAUUAGUGGCGAACGGGUGAGUAACACGUGAGUAACCUGCCCUUGACUCUGGGAUAACUGCGGGAAACUGUAGCUAAUACCGGAUACGACCCUCGGCGGCAUCGCCAGGGGGUGGAAAGAAUUUCGGUCAAGGAUGGACUCGCGGCCUAUCAGCUAGUUGGUGCGGUAACGACUCACCAAGGCGACGACGGGUAGCCGGCCUGGCAGGGUGACAGGCACACCGGGGACUGAGAAACGGCCCAGACUCCUACGGGAGGCAGCAGUGGGGAAUAUUGCACAAUGGGCGCAAGCCUGAGGCAGCAACGCCGCGUGAGGGAUGACGGCCUUCGGGUUGUAAACCUCUUUUAGUAGGGAAGAAGCGAAAGUGACGGUACCUGCAGAAAAAGCACCGGCUAACUACGUGCCAGCCGCCGCGGUAA